AUGAACGCUGGCGGCGUGCCUCAUACAUGCAAGUCGAGCGAACGGACGAGAAGCUUGCUUCUCUGAUGUUAGCGGCGGACGGGUGAGUAACACGUGGAUAACCUACCUAUAAGACUGGGAUAACUUCGGGAAACCGGAGCUAAUACCGGAUAAUAUUUUGAACCGCAUGGUUCCAAAGUGAAAGACGGUCUUGCUGUCACUUAUAGAUGGAUCCGCGCUGCAUUAGCUAGUUGGUAAGGUAACGGCUUACCAAGGCAACGAUGCAUAGCCGACCUGAGAGGGUGAUCAGCCACACUGGAACUGAGACACGGUCCAGACUCCUACGGGAGGCAGCAGUAGGGAAUCUUCCGCAAUGGGCGAAAGCCUGACGGAGCAACGCCGCGUGAGUGAUGAAGGUCUUCGGAUCGUAAAACUCUGUUAUUAGGGAAGAACAUAUGUGUAAGUAACUGUGCACAUCUUGACGGUACCUAAUCAGAAAGCCACGGCUAACUACGUG
rnacentral:rRNA from 1 species